UCUAACUAGUAUCCUCUGACUGCAGAUCAGCUUAAUAAUCAGACCUACAUCAUAAUUGGUGCAGUGGUCGCGGUGGUGGUAGUGCUGGUUGUCAUCGCUGCUGUUCUCAUCAAAUACAGGAAGAGAGUCAAAGUGACAGCAGAUGUUCAAAAACCAACCCAACACCCUCAUUUUUCCACUGCUGACAAACUGAUAGUACAUGAUGAGGAAGAGCCAGAGAGCAAUCUGACCUAUGCCACUGUUAGCCAUGCUGAUCAACAGACCUCUCCUAAGAAAAAGGUCAAAGAGGAGGAGGAGGUGACUUAUUCUACAGUCAAGACUUCAUUUAAGACAGAAGCAGACAAUGAUCCCAGCAGCCUCUACAGCUACGUCAGCCAACCAAAAUAAAUCAGAGCAUAUGAGACUUCCCAUAAUGUCAUAUUCAUAAAACCUGCUGCAAGAGUGUUUUCUGUCUGAGGAAGGGGACAGUUGGAUUUGUGCCUCAGUGUUCUUAUCAAAUGUUGAGAAGUUGUUUCUAGUUUGUUGUUGCUUUGCUCGGCAUUAAGACUGUUGUUCUGUUAAACUGCUACUAAAACUAUUUCAGUCAGCCAACUCACGUAAUGUUUAUGUAAGCAGUAUAUGCAAUA